rnacentral:rRNA from 1 species
UCAAGCGAACAAGGGCGCAGGGCGAAUGCCUUGGCACUGGGAGCCGAUGAAAGACGUGAUAAGCUGCGAUAAGCUUCGGGGAGCUGCAAAUAAGCAUUGAUCCGGAGAUUUCUGAAUGAGGAAACUCACCUGGGUUCAUACUCAGGUACGUUGUACUGAAAUUCAAAAUAGGUACAUCGGGGGAACCGCCUGAACUGAAACAUCUAAGUAGGGCGAGGAAGAGACAUCAAACGAGAUUCCGUAAGUAGUGGCGAGCGAACGCGGAAGAGGGCAAACCGGGAGUAGAAAUACUUCCGGGGUACGGACUGCUUUUAGGACUCGAUCUGUUAACCGAACGGCAUGGGAAGGCCGGUCAGAGAGUGUGAGAACCACGUAGGUGAAAACGGAGAGAGCUGCGCAGAUUCCAGAGUACGGCCAGACACGUGAAACCUGGUCGGAAGAUGGGGGGACCACCCUCCAACCCUAAAUACUACCCAGUGACCGAUAGCGUAUAGUACUGUGAAGGAAAGGUGAAAAGCACCCCGGGAGGGGAGUGAAAAAGAACCUGAAACCCUGUGCCUACAAGCACCUAGAGCACGUCAAUGUGUGAUAGGGUACUUUUUGUAGAACGGUCCGGCGAGCGAUUGUAUGCAGCAAGGUUAAGGACUUAAGGUCUGGAGCCGAAGCGAAAGCGAGUUUGAAAAGGGCGUUAAGUUGCAUAUAAUGGGCCCGAAACCGGGUGACCUACCCAUGGUCAGGUUGAAGUGGAAGUAAAAUUCCAUGGAGGACCGAACCGACCUCCGUUGAAAAGGCGGCGGAUGAACUGUGGGUAGCGGAGAAAUUCCAAUCGAACCCGGAGAUAGCUGGUUCUCCCCGAAAUAGUUUUAGGACUAGCCUCAAGUUAGAUACCUGGAGGUAAAGCACUGAAUAGCCUAGCGGCCGAGAGGUUAGCGAAGCUUAUCAAACUCAGAAUGCCAGAGUAUUGAUGCUUGGGAGUCAGACAGUGUCAGAUAAAUGUCAUUGUCAAAAGGGAAACAGCCCAGAUCUACAGCUAAGGUCCCAAAGUCAGGUUAAGUGGAAAACGAUGUGAAGAUACGCAGACAACCAGGAUGUUGGCUCAGAAGCAGCCACUCAUUCAAAGAGUGCGUAAUAGCUCACUGGUCGAGCGUCUUUGCGCGGAGAAUUUAACGGGGCUAAACCUGACACCGAAGCUUAGGCAAUCCAGCAAUGGAUUGGGUAGGGGAGCGUUGUAUACGCGGAGAAACAGUAGCGUAAGCGGCUGUGGAGUGUAUAGAAGUGAGAAUGCCGGAAUGAGUAGCGCGAAUGCAGUGAGAAUCUGCAUGGCCGAAAGCCUCAGGUUUUUGGAGGAAGGUUCGUCCGCUCCAAGUUAGUCGGGAGCUAAGGUGAGGCCGGAAGGCGUAGCCGAUGCACAGACGGUAGAGAUUCCGUCACCACCAAAAGAGUUAAGCACAGGGACACAUUUGAAGUCUCAGAGCCGGGUGUUGGUUCCGGUAGAGAUCGAGGGAAGUUAGUACCGAAGUCUGGGAUGGAGGAUGGCGAGAAAAGCUGUGUGUAUUUCUGAGGUGCCCGUACCGCAAACCGACACAGGUAGGUAGGAAGAAGAUUCUAAGGCCAACGGGAGAAGGGUUGUUAAGGAACUCGGCAAAUUGACCCCGUAACUUCGGGAGAAGGGGUGCUCCAGAGAUGGAGCCGCAGAGAAUCGGCCCAAGCAACUGUUUACCAAAAACACAGGUUUGUGCUAAAUCGAAAGAUGACGUAUACGAGCUGACGCCUGCCCGGUGCUGGAAGGUUAAGAGGAGAUGUGCAAGCAUUGAAUCGAAGCCCCAGUGAACGGCGGCCGUAACUAUAACGGUCCUAAGGUAGCGAAAUUCCUUGUCAGGUAAG